UACAGAGGGGGCAAGCGUUGUUCGGAAUUACUGGGCGUAAAGGGCGCGUAGGCGGCCCGCUAAGUCGAACGUGAAAUCCCCGGGCUCAACCCGGGAACUGCGUCCGAUACUGGUGGGCUCGAAUCCGGGAGAGGGAUGCGGAAUUCCAGGUGUAGCGGUGAAAUGCGUAGAUAUCGGGAGGAACACCAGUGGCGAAGGCGACUACCUGGCCCAUUCUUGACGCUGAGGCGCGAAAGCUAGGGGAGCGAACGGG
rnacentral:rRNA from 1 species